GGCGCGAUAGCAAAGCGGUUAUGCAGCGGAUUGCAAAUCCGCCCAGGGCGGUUCGACUCCGCCUCGCGCCUCCA
rnacentral:tRNA from 2 species